UACGUAGGGGGCAAGCGUUGUCCGGAAUCAUUGGGCGUAAAGAGCGUGUAGGCGGCCUUAUAAGUCGGCUGUGAAAGUCAAGGGCUCAACCCUUGAAUGCCGGCCGAUACUGUGAGGCUAGAGUCCGGAAGAGGCGAGUGGAAUUCCUGGUGUAGCGGUGGAAUGCGCAGAUAUCAGGAGGAACACCGAUGGCGAAGGCAGCUCGCUGGGACGGUACUGACGCUGAGACGCGAAAGCGUGGGGAGCGAACAGG
rnacentral:rRNA from 1 species